rnacentral:rRNA from 1 species
GAUGAACGCUGGCGGCGUGCUUAACACAUGCAAGUCGAACGGAAAGGCCCAAGCUUGCUUGGGUACUCGAGUGGCGAACGGGUGGGUAACACGUGGGUGAUCUGCCCUGCACUUCGGGAUAAGCCUGGGAAACUGGGUCUAAUACCGGAUAGGACGAUGGUUUGGAUGCCAUUGUGGAAAGUUUUUUCGGUGUGGGAUGAGCUCGCGGCCUAUCAGCUUGUUGGUGGGGUAAUGGCCUACCAAGGCGUCGACGGGUAGCCGGCCUGAGAGGGUGUACGGCCACAUUGGGACUGAGAUACGGCCCAGACUCCUACGGGAGGCAGCAGUGGGGAAUAUUGCACAAUGGGCGCAAGCCUGAUGCAGCGACGCCGCGUGGGGGAUGACGGCCUUCGGGUUGUAAACUCCUUUCGCUAGGGACGAAGCGUUUUUGUGACGGUACCUGGAGAAGAAGCACCGGCUAACUACGUG